rnacentral:rRNA from 1 species
GACGAACGCUGGCGGCGUGCUUAACACAUGCAAGUCGAGCGAUGAAGCACCUUCGGGUGUGAAUUAGCGGCGAACGGGUGAGGAACACGUGAGAAAUCUGCCUUCAACUCUGGGAUAACUCCGGGAAACCGGGGCUAAUACCGGAUAUGAGCCUUGAUCGCAUGAUCGGGGCUGGAAAGUUUUUCGGUUGAAGAUGAUCUCGCGGCCUAUCAGCUUGUUGGUGAGGUAAUGGCUCACCAAGGCGACGACGGGUAGCCGGCCUGAGAGGGCGACCGGCCACACUGGGACUGAGACACGGCCCAGACGCCUACGGGAGGCAGCAGUGGGGAAUAUUGGGCAAUGGAGGAAACUCUGACCCAGCGACGCCGCGUGAGGGAUGAAGGCCUUCGGGUUGUAAACCUCUUUCAGUAGGGAAGAAGCGAAAGUGACGGUACCUACAGAAGAAGCACCGGCUAACUAUGUGCCAGCCGCCGCCGUAA